rnacentral:rRNA from 1 species
GACGAACGCUGGCGGCGUGCUUAACACAUGCCAGUCGAACGAAGUGGCGCACGGGUGAGUAACGCGUAAUCAACCUGCCCUUCAGAGGGGGACAACAGUUGGAAACGACUGCUACUACCGCAUACUUAAGGAGGGGAUUGCGUCUGAUUAGCUAGUUGGAGGGGUCACGGCCCACCAAGGCGAUGAGCAGUAGACGGUCUUAGAGGAUGCACGGCCACAGUGGGACUGAGACACGGCCCAGACUCCUACGGGAGGCAGCAGUGGGGAAUCGUCCGCAAUGGACGAAAGUCUGACGGAGCAACGCCGCGGGAGUGAUGACGGCCUUCGGGUUGUAAAGCUCUGUUAAUCGGGACGCGGUACCGGAAUAGAAAGCCACGGCUAACUACGUGCCAGCCGCCGCGGUAAUAC